CCGCGUAUGCGGUGGGUCCAAUCCCUGGGCUCAACCCCGGUCCGCCCCCCGCACCCCGCGGCUCGGGUCCGGUAGGGGAGGGUGGAACACCCGGUGUAGCGGUGGAAUGCGCAGAUAUCGGGUGGAACACCGGUGGCGAAGGCGGCCCUCUGGGCCGAGACCGACGCUGAGGCGCGAAAGCUGGGGGAGCGAA
rnacentral:rRNA from 1 species